rnacentral:rRNA from 1 species
GACGAACGCUGGCGGCGUGCUUAACACAUGCAAGUCGAGCGGUAAGGCCUUUCGGGGUACACGAGCGGCGAACGGGUGAGUAACACGUGGGUGAUCUGCCCUGCACUUCGGGAUAAGCCUGGGAAACUGGGUCUAAUACCGGAUAUGACCUCCUAUCGCAUGGUGGGUGGUGGAAAGAUUUAUCGGUGCAGGAUGGGCCCGCGGCCUAUCAGCUUGUUGGUGGGGUAAUGGCCUACCAAGGCGACGACGGGUAGCCGACCUGAGAGGGUGACCGGCCACACUGGGACUGAGACACGGCCCAGACUCCUACGGGAGGCAGCAGUGGGGAAUAUUGCGCAAUGGGCGAAAGCCUGACGCAGCGACGCCGCGUGAGGGAUGACGGCCUUCGGGUUGUAAACCUCUUUCGACAGGGACGAAUUUGACGGUACCUGUAGAAGAAGCUCCGGCUAACUACGUGCCAGCAGCCGCGGUAAAAC